UCUCCAACUUGAGCCUGAUUUAGCCCUGUCCCUUGUGCACACCAGCUGCUUUGUCAUCUCUGGUCUCUUUAGGUAUCUUCUACCAGUAUCCUUCUCCAGCCAGUCCUAGAUGUCCCCCUGAGCUCGUUGUGGAAAUCACUACCCAAGCUCUUUGAGCUUCCUACCUGCAAACCUUUCCCCCCCUCCCCAGACACCACUCUCCUUUCCAAGGUGCCCUUGUCCUGUCCCCCAUCAGUGCCCCAAUAUCUUUCCUGUUUUGCUUGUUUAGCUGGUUGCUAUUGCACCUAACUGUCCUUUUUCCUAAUCUUUGCCUCCCUCUCAAGCACAGUUUCUUUCCCUAGUCUCCCCCUGCAUUCAAAGCUUCCCUGUUUCUUGGCUCUGUCUCACACUAUUUUCCAGCCUUACUAGUACUCCUCCUCAGAUCUGUCUCCCUCCUUGCUCAUCCUAGGCAGUUCAUUAAUUUCUAAAUCCUAAUCUCCUUAUCUAGCCAACCCUGAUGACUAGCUAUGACUGCAACUCCUCACUGUUAGAUAAUCAGUUCUUGCCAGACUCUUAUUUCCUCUCCCAAUGUGUUGUUUCUACACACCUUUGUUCAGGUUAAAUGUCACUCCCUGCCCUGGUGGUGGGCAGUGUCACCAAGCCCACUGCAGGUGUAGAAGUCCAGGCUUCCCCUGUCCUAGCCCAAUGCUGGUUCCACCUGCCAUUGCUCCUGCUGCUUUGGGCUGAUGUGUGCUUGUGGUGCUGGAGCACAGUCUAGUGCUGUGCUGAGGAGGAAUUUUUGAAGGUGGAAAGAAAUAAAUCAAGGUCAAAGACUUGUAGGAUGUUAACAGAUAAUGGAGGAGAGUGGCAGAGGACUUG